rnacentral:tRNA from 1 species
GGUAAGAUGGCUGAGAUAGGCGCUGGAUUGUAGCCCCAUGAACAGAGGUUUGAGCCCUCUUCUUAUCA